CUGCCCAUUAGACUGGGAUAACUCCGGGAAACCGGAGCUAAUACCGGAUAAUCCCUUUCUCCACCUGGAGAGAGGGUGAAAGAUGGCUUCGGCUAUCACUAGGGGAUGGGCCCGCGGCGCAUUAGCUAGUUGGUAAGGUAACGGCUUACCAAGGCGACGAUGCGUAGCCGACCUGAGAGGGUGAUCGGCCACACUGGGACUGAGACACGGCCCAGACUCCUACGGGAGGCAGCAGUAGGGAAUCUUCCGCAAUGGACGAAAGUCUGACGGAGCAACGCCGCGUGAGUGAGGAAGGCCUUCGGGUCGUAAAGCUCUGUUGUGAGGGAAGAAGCGGUACCGUUCGAAUAGGGCGGUACCUUGACGGUACCUCACCAGAAAGCCACGGCUAACUACGUGCCAGCAGCCGCGGUAAUACGUAGGUGGCAAGCGUUGUCCGGAAUUAUUGGGCGUAAAGCGCGCGCAGGCGGCUUCUUAAGUCUGAUGUGAAAUCUCGGGGCUCAACCCCGAGCGGCCAUUGGAAACUGGGGAGCUUGAGUGCAGAAGAGGAGAGUGGAAUUCCACGUGUAGCGGUGAAAUGCGUAGAGAUGUGGAGGAACACCAGUGGCGAAGGCGACUCUCUGGUCUGUAACUGACGCUGAGGCGCGAAAGCGUGGGGAGCAAACAGGAUUAGAUACCCUGGUAGUCCACGCCGUAAACGAUGAGUGCUAGGUGUUAGGGGUUUCGAUGCCCGUAGUGCCGAAGUAACACAUAAGCA
rnacentral:rRNA from 2 species